GGGUGCUCAGAAUCAGGAAAGCCGUGCCAGGUCCCUGAAUGUGGAAUUAUUAUAGAGAGACCCUCAGUACAUGGAUUUUAGCCAGCUGUGGCUCCUUGGAGGAGCAGAUUUCUAUGUGAACAUCAACCUGUAUAACUUCCUCACUAAAAACUCCUGAAUAACUUACAGCCUUCAAUAAUAUCCAGUUCAAGGCCAUAGCCCUGUACUACAAGGCCAUGCAGGAUGCAGCCUGUGGCCAUCUCACUCUAGUCACAGGAGGCCUUCUUCCUAUCCAAACACACCAACCUCAUUCCCACCUUAGGGCUUUGCCCCUGGUUGUUCCUGAUACCAUCACACUAGCACGCGCACGUCCAAGAGGAAACGGGCAAUCUUCUCAGACGAUGCACAAUGCACUUCAAACGGAAAGUGAUUCUGGCCUCUGAGCGACAGCGGCUGAGCAGCAGCCACGUCCUUUGGAUGGGUCUGGGCUCCCCAUUCUCCACGGCCCUCACUUGUCGCCUCAGCCCUGAGACUGAGCAGAGCUUAGCGCCCGCCGCAUGGGCCGUGCUGGACUUCUUCUACUAGAGUUUGAGGGAGCUGGAGUAUCCCACGUGCAUUCGUCAAAAAUGGAAAAGGUAAAGACAAAGAGGCCCACAGGAUCAUAGAGAAAUGCAAGACCAAGCGUCUUCUGUUUGCCCCGGCUGGUGCUGAGCCCUGCCUAUCAAGUCCCGGGCCUUUGCCAGCACUUGGUCAACUAGCCUCAGCGCUGACGGACGAAGGAAGCAAAAGCCAA
rnacentral:lncRNA from 1 species